ACUAACGUUCAAGCAGUGUUACAACAGGGACGCUUCAUGGCAGCGGACUGGAUGUUUUGGAGGCGGAUAGAAAACGCGUUCAUGCUGUGUGUUGUUGCUAAUGGCUGCAUGUUCGAGCAGACAAAUAAAGUGAAUAUAAAGGAGUAAGCCGACCCUCGAGCAUUUCACACCCCCGACAGAUUUAUUUGUUUAUUUAUUUGAUGUACUCCCUUGUUGUUUAGUGAUGAUGCUGAGACAGUUGUGUUCUUCCAUGUAGUUGUGGCUCACAGGGCGAUCUGUGCUCCUGUGCUUUAAACGGAGAUGGAAUGCGUUGGGAGAGGUUGUUCCUCCGUUACGCCACAAGGGGGAGUAUGCGGCUAGGCACAUUCAUUGUGCAAAGUAAACAAGGUGUAAAAACUUUCCCAGCUCCAUCUCGCUUCCUGUGAAGGUGAAUAACAUCACAUCAGGAGCUCCAUGUGUUUGAGGAGUUUUAUUGAGUUAUUUUUUCUUGUUUCUGAUGCUAAGGCUGCUGGUUGGUGGUUUUAUUUGAAAUGUGCUGAGAAUAUCUUUGUGAAGUGCCCAGGCAGUCGGAUCGGUUUGGUGUGUGUGUGUGUGCUCUCACAGAUAAAUGUUCUCAUCAGUGCUUUACUAGACCGCAAUGCAAUCAGCACAAAGAGUUUAGUUUUUGAAUUCUGUAACCACUUGGUGGAAACUACUUGAAUUUGUAAGUUUUUUGCACAAAUGCAGAUAAAAAUAUCGUGAAUAAUCACACAAUCGUCAAGUUUAAAAACUGCACAUUAAUUAGUUCUUAUAGUCCAUUUUGUGGGUGGCACGGUGGUGUAGUGGUUAGCGCUGUCGCCUCACAGCAAGAAGGUCCUGGGUUCAAGCCCCGUGGCCGGCGAGGGCCUUUCUGUGUGGAGUUUGCGUGUUCUCCCCGUGUCCGCGUGGGUUUCCUCCGGGUGCUCCGGUUUCCCCCACAGUCCAAAGACAUGCAGGUUAGGUUAACUGGUGACUCUAAAUUGAGCGUAGGUGUGAAUGUGAGUAUGAAUGGUUGUCUGUGUCUAUGUGUCAGCCCUGUGAUGACAUGGCGACUUGUCCAGGGUGUACCCCGCCUUUCGCCCGUAGUCAGCUGGGAUAGGUUCCAGCUUGCCUGCGACCCUGUAGAAGGAUAAAGCGGCUAGAGAUAAUGAGAUGAGAUGAGUCCAUUUUGUGAAGCGCCCUCUUGGGUCUGAAACUGGAACUGUGUAAUUUUCUAUUUAUUUCUGAUGCUUUGUAGACUUUAUAUAAAGGAACCUUCUACAUGCAAAUAUAGUAUUUAUCAUUCUGCCUGAACAUUUCUGUACAUGAUCAUAUACAGUGGAAACUCCAUAUAAUGAAAUACUGAAUAUAACACUUUUUUUUUUCCUCCUCCGGUCCCAGUGAAAUCAAUUUGCUUUGUAUUGUUUAUUGACUGCUGAUAUAUAUAAAAAAAUCGCUGAUUAUAACAAAGUUCCCUGGUCCCAAGGACCUCGAUAUAAAGAGUUUCCACUGUAUUUAUUUAUUUAUUUAUUUAUUUAUUAUAAUGGCGAUGUUACACUGAAGCAUAAGUUGUGGUAUUUACUGCUAUUGUUAGAAAACACCUUCAGGAGUAACUCAUCAUGACACAAAUUUAUUUCAAAACAAUGUGUGAUUUCUUCAAGAUAAUACAGUAUGUAAUACAGACAGAAGCUUAAACAAGAUCCUGCUGGAAUGAGUUUGUUUCAUUAUUGAAAUGUUCUCAUGGUUGCAAAGACAAGAAAUAGAUCUUUAGGACUGAGAAAACAAGGAUAAUAUUGUGGUUAAAAAAAGGGAAAAACAUCAAAUUACACUUGCUCUUGUGACAUUCAAGUUGAAAGCUAUUUAGGUUUUUGAUGAUAAAAAGUAGAUCAUCUGAUUAAAGGAUGAAAAAUGCUAUGAAUAAAAAAAAAUCGUUUUCGUAUCACAGUGGAGAGGGAGAGGGAGGGACCUGAAAGUUACACUCGUUGACAUUUUCCAGCCAAGACCACUGUCUUCUCAAUCCUACUGACUGAAGCUUUAAAGAGUGAGGUUGUGGUGAUAUUUGUAUGGAACUGAUGGUUAGUAAUCCCUGGUGUGUGGAGCUGAACUUUUUGGUGAAUGAGACCCUGUUCUGUCUGGAAAGGACCCAAGCAGUGCCUUGGGUCUGUGGCCCAAAGUGGGCGGAGCGUGGGGAAGGGGCGUGAGGGGGUGUCUCCCUCCUGUAAGGGGGGUCUGGGCCUCCCCCAGAAAACUUUUAAAUACUGGAUGUUCUUCAAUGCUCUCUAAUGGCAUUUCUGCAAUGAAAUGUUUUAUUUUGCAGAUAUAAAAAGGUACACUUUAUAAUUUUCAGCAGCCAGGCCUAAAAUCAGUCUGAAUGGUGUUAACAUGCACCACAGGAAAAUGUUCCACUGGAUUUUCUGAUGGCAUUUCUGCUGUAAAACAGGUCUUAAAUCUGAAGUCAAUAAAAUGGAACACAUUAAUUUUAAUAUAUAGAGUGUCUAUGUCGUGGGAGUGAUGGUAUUAUGUGUAUUGUACUGUUGUGAUUAUUUAUGUGUUUGAAACCAUUUAAUGGGGGCUGAGCAAAGUGAGAAUGAUACUGGACUCGAUACUAAUGUUAUUUGUGGCAGUUGGACUGACGAAUGGGACAAUGUGGGGGGAGGUUGAGAAACUGUGCUUAAUGUUACAGGUGCCACUGUGAUUGGAGUCUCCGCCGAGACGCUGCACAGCAUAAUAAGCCACAGCUGUGAGCACUUAUGGCCACUUUCGGUACGAGGCUACGGAUUGGCUGAAGCCAUAAUCAGCGCGUAGAUAAAAUGGCUCACUAAAUUGUAACGCAGGUCCCCCUUUUCUUUGGCCUGCACCGCCGCGACACAGAGGGUGGUACCGGAUCCCCGCUCGCCAGAACUGCCAAUGCCGAAAUCUUCUGCUCUGCCGCAACCAGGAAGGGACUGCUCCAUGCUGGCUUGCCGAGGAGGAGAGGUUACGUGUAGACGACGAAAGGAACGAUUAUCCUGCGCACUCUAAUCAAAUUAAAGGAACGGUGAAUUUCAGCUGUUUACUGAGCGAGUGUGUUUAACCCUUGUGCUGCGAAGUACUCAGAUGAUUGUUUAUUUCUGACAGAUACUAUGGUGGCAGCGGCAACUGGAUUGGGAGUUCCGGGUCUCGGGAGCAGCGUCAUCGCGCUGAGCAGCCGUACGUGCGAUGGGUGGUACAACGCGGCCGUCAACUUAAAGAUUUAAGUGCAGACUUUAAGAAGAAGCCGAGGUGAAUUUUACAGGAACGACAGAAGACACGGUGUGGAGGUGGAGAGCAGGAAGGAGUGUCAAAAAACAGGGAAAAGCUGAGAUCAUCUUAUUCAGACAAAAGCAGCAGGAUGAAGUCAGAGACAGCAGGGUGUCACAAGGAGACGAGGUGCUCAUUUACAAUCACACUCAUGCACUCAGACAGGACAUUUUGGAGACUCUGACUCCAUCUUCUGCUUUCAGAUGAAUUUUAAAUCAAUUUUACUGAACAACAAACAGCAUUACCAAAGACAUGCAGGUUAGGUUAACUGGUGACUCUAAAUUGACCGUAGGUGUGAGUGUUGAAUGGUUGUCUGUGUGUCAGCCCUGUGAUGACCUGGCGACUUGUCCAGGGUGUACCCUGCCUCUUGCCCGUAGUCAGCUGGGAUAGGCUCCAGCUUGCCUGCGACCCUGUAGAACAGGAUAAAGCGGCUAGAGAUGAUGAGAUGAGAUGAAAAUGAGAUUAAAUUAUUCUUUUUCCCAACAUUCACCUAAAAAGGUUAUUACUUACCUGAGUGUCUGUAGUUUGUAAUGUUCAUCAUCCUUAAGAGCAGAGAGCAGCUUCUCUCCUGAGUCUCCUAUUUUAUUCCCAAACAGAUCCAGUUCUCUCAGGUGUGAGGGAUUUGAUCUCAGAGCUGAAGCGAGAGCAGCACAGCCUUCAUCUGAGACACCACAAUACCACAACCUGCAGAGACACAAUGACACACACUUCACUGCCUCAGUUUAUGAACAUCAAGAUUUGCUUUGAUGUUUUUGCUUUGCUUUCUAAUGAGCUCUUGGAGAAGUCGUUCGCUCAGAGGUUCACACACUUUUUAAACCCCAGAGUGUGAAUGUUUAAAUGGUUUAUUCAGGACUGACGAGAACAAGUGUGACUUUUCUUUAGACAGAAUGUGUUUGUCUACGAUUCUGACUCGGAUGAAGAUUAGACCAUGUUUUAUUAUUAAAGAAAACCAGGCAAUGUCAAAGUCUUCAAAAACUUUUUUGCAAACACAAGGAGUGAAAUAAUUUUUAAAAAAUUCCCUGUUAUUUAUGAAAACAUUUUGUGAAUUUUUCCAAGUAUGUGAAAGAAUUUUAAUUUCAGAAGAGAAAACGUCUGUUCAUUACAGUUCUCUCUCUCUCAUGCUGAGAUGUUUUUUUCUUCUGUGUAAAACCACUCGCCCACACUCCAUUCCCUCCCAGUGAAGCCGUGUGUCUGGGCGGGGCUCAAAAUGAUGCAUUAAAUCCUGUUGUCCAAUGAGCUUUCGUCUUUCUGCUCAUUAAAACAGCGAGUACACAAACACCUAACAGACACUAAUGGAUGCAGAGGCUUCAGUGGGGGUCUGUUAGCUCUGUGUCAGGGGCUUUUCACACAGGCUGCACUGUUCACCACUAAACAGUGUGAGUUUAAUGAACAAACAGCGCGAUAUUGCAGUGAGAUACUCCAUCAAUCUGAUUCACUAAAAUAUUGAACGACAGCAAGACUGAUGAAUAAAAUAGACACUUUGGGAAAUGUUUCAUUGCUGCAUUUUUUUUUUUUUUUUGUAAUUUUUUUUUUUAUUAUUGACAUUCAGAAUCAGACAUUCACAUCCGGUACAUCAUAUGUUCAUACAUCUUACAUCUGUUGUCUGCCCCAAAUAGCAUUUUUGUUUUGUAUCUGAAGAAUGAAAAGAGAAAUAAACGAAGAAGAAAAAAAAACCUAUGUACAAGUAGGGAGUGAUCCUUUUUAUCCAGCACGGUCACUGGUUUGUGAAAAUAAAAUCAGGCCUAUGGGGCGUGACAUAUUUGACCCAGUUUUCCCAGUGUGAAGCGAAUUUCUCCAAUUUGUGAUUAAUGAAAGCUGUUAUCUUCAUUUUAUAAAUGUCCAUUGUAAUGUCCAUCCAUAUAUUUAAAGUUGGGCUCUCCUGUGAUAACCAUUUCCUGGUAAUACUCUUUUUACAGGCCACCAGCAAUAUAUUUAUUAAGUGUUUCUCCCUUUUCGGCCAUUCCUCAGGUAUGUGUCCGAAAAACAUAAUCUUACUCUCGAGGGGUAUUUCACAUUUGAAGAUAUCCUGUAGGGCAUUGUGUAUCUCUCUCCAAUAGUCCUUCAUGACUGGGCAGUCCCAGAAAACAUGGUAAUGGUUUGCACUUUGAUUUCCGCAGUUCCUCCAACAGACAGGGGAGUUAUUAUCAUAGUGAGACUUCUGAGAAGGCGUAAUGAAGUACCUAAUCAGGCUUUUCCAGCCAAAUUCCCUCCACUUCUUUGAGCUGGUACACAUCCAUUGAUACUUCCAUAUUGUUGUCCAUUCUUCCUCAGAUAUAGUUUUGCCUCCUUCCUUCUCCCAUUUUAUUUUAAUAUAUAAAGUUGAAUGUGGUUUCAAAUUUG